rnacentral:lncRNA from 1 species
AUCAACCAUUUUUUUCCUCAAAGAGCUCAACAAAACAUUAAUUUGCUUUGUUUUUAAGAUGUGGUCUCAGGCUGGAGAUACGACUCAGCCAUUGAGAACACUGACUCUUCCAGAAUACCCAGGUUCAAUUCCCAGCACCCAUUUGGCAGCAAACAAUUGGCUGUAAUUCUAGUUCCCAAGACUUCUAGCGCUCAGGCACGUCAUAUACAUGCAGACAUAAUACUCAUGCACAUGAAAUGGAAAUCUCAAGUGAGGUGGAGCCCCACUACUUACUUGAGCAUGGCUCAGUGCUCCUGCCUUGGCACUUGUAGGACUUCUAAGCUUGUGCCACCACACCAGAUUCAAGCAUUGUUCUUCUAAAUGAUACUGACUGACGUCGUUAGCGAUCGGCGUGUGACACAGGAGCCUUCAGACAGGGCUCAGGACCACGGACUGGAGAAAGGCAUGGUUGGGUCUGAACCUUGAGAGAACAGUAAAUCUAUUGAAGAGCUGGAUGGUUUACAUCAGUCGCUCUUAGCCGACUUCAUAGCCUAGGCUGGCCUCACGCUCUCCAGUCCGUCCAUCCCCCGCUGAGUCUGGAGCACAAGCAUCCAACACUCUGCAUUGUUUUUCAUUUCUCCUGUCAGAGGUCUCGUUAUGGAACCUUGUAAACGUGAUCUUGAGUUUCCUGAGUAGUUAGAUGGUUUUUGUCUUAGUUUUAACUGGCUCUUUGUUUUGUGCUUUAAGGGUUACUAUAAUGAAAGACAAGGAUACUAGGA